AACGUUAAUUCCUAUAAGCCAGUGAAACAAUCUAGAAUGACAGCUAUAUUUCUUCUAUUGUGUUCGGAGACCAAGCCAUCAAAAAAUGUUUCAUAAGUUCCUUCAUACAUUGAAAUUUGAGUAUGUCUCUCUUCAUGGUGACAAAAUGGCUGCAGCAGCUCCAGAAUCACAUGUGGACAUAACAUUAUUCAGAAAAGAAGACAGACUAUGCUCCUGUACAUGUCUCUUAUAAUAAAAAAAAUUUCCCAUAAAA